rnacentral:rRNA from 1 species
UACGUAGGGGGCAAGCGUUGUCCGGAUUUAUUGGGCGUAAAGCGCUCGCAGGCGGCUCGAUGCGUCGUGCGUGAAACACCCCGGCUCAACUGGGGAGGUCGUGCGAUACGGUCGGGCUGGAGGCCAGUAGGGGGAGUGCGGAAUUCCGGGUGUAGUGGUGGAAUGCGUAGAGAUCCGGAGGAACACCAGCGGCGAAGGCGGCAUCCUGGACUCGGUACUGACGCUCAUGAGCG